rnacentral:rRNA from 1 species
AUUGAACGCUGGCGGCAUGCUUUACACAUGCAAGUCGGACGGCAGCGGGGGAGUGCUUGCACUACUGCCGGCGAGUGGCGCACGGGUGAGUAAUAUAUUGGAACUUACCGAGUGAUGGGGGAUAACUAAUCGAAAGAUUGGCUAAUACCGCAUACGCUCUGAGGAGGAAAGCACGGGACUUUCGGGCCUUGCGUUAUUCGCGCGGCGAAUAUCGGAUUAGCUAGUUGGUGGGGUAAGGGCCUACCAAGGCGACGAUCAGUAGCGGGUCUGAGAGGAUGAUCCGCCACACUGGGACUGAGACACGGCCCAGACUCCUACGGGAGGCAGCAGUAGGGAAUUUUGGACAAUGGGCGCAAGCCUGAUCCAGCCAUGCCGCGUGUCUGAAGAAGGCCUUCGGGUUGUAAAAGACUGUUGUUAGGGAAGAAAAAGGAGCUGUUAAUACCCGUUUCUGCUGACGGUACCUAAAGAAUAAGCACCGGCUAACUACGUG